GAUGAAGAACGCAGCGAAAUACGAUAAGUAAUGUGAAUUGCAGAAUUCAGUGAAUCAUCGAAUCUUUGAACGCACAUUGCGCCCGCCAGUAUUCUGGCGGGCAUGCCUGUUCGAGCGUCAUUUCAACCAUCAAGCCCCCGGCUUGUGUUGGGGACCUGCGGCUGCCGCAGGCCCUGAAAAGCAGUGGCGGGCUCGCUGUCACACCGAGCGUAGUAGCAUACAUCUCGCUCUGGGCGUGCUGCGGGUUCCGGCCGUUAAACCACCUUCAUAACCCAAGGUUGACCUCGGAUCAGGUAGGAAGACCCGCUGAACUUAAGCAUAUCGAUAAGCGGAGGA
rnacentral:misc_RNA from 1 species